ensembl:snRNA U6 U6 spliceosomal RNA
GUGGUCACUUCAGCAGCACAUGUACUAAAAUUGGAACAAUAUAGAGAUUAGCAUGGUCCCUGCACAAGGAUGACAUGCAAAUUUGUGACGUUAGUCAGCUUGAU